rnacentral:rRNA from 1 species
GCAGGCUGCAACCCGCCCUGCAUGAAGUUGGAAUCACUAGUAAUCGCGGAUCAGCAUGCCGCGGUGAAUGCGUUCUCGGGCCUUGUACACACCGCCCGUCACACCAUGAGAGUCGGGAACACCCGAAGUCCGUAGCCUAACCGCAAGGGGGGCGCGGCCGAAGGUGGGCUCGAUAAUUGGGGUGAAGUCGUAACAAGGUACC